GCGAAUGAAUCCUGAAGGAUGUUGCUGGCUCCUUGGGGCAGGUGCACUCCUCAGAUAUUCUCUUGUCCUCACCUUUUACAAACCCUGUGCACCCUCUGUAGGUUUGGCACGUUCCGACCUAUGUUUUUUUUUUUGUCAUUUGCACCGCGGAAUGUUAUUUGAAUGUCGUGAUUCUUUUUUGAAUAAAUUACA
rnacentral:misc_RNA from 1 species